GUGCUUGCACUGAUUUCAACAAUGAAGCGUGUGGCGAACUGGGGAGUAACACGUGGGAAAUCUGCCCAGAAGCAGGGGAUAACACUUGGAAACAGGUGCUAAUACCGUAUAACAACAAAAUCCGCAUGGUUUUUGUUUGAAAGGUGGCUUCGGCUAUCACUUCUGGAUGAUCCCGCGGCGUAUUAGUUAGUUGGUGAGGUAAAGGCCCACCAAGACGAUGAUACGUAGCCGACCUGAGAGGGUAAUCGGCCACAUUGGGACUGAGACACGGCCCAAACUCCUACGGGAGGCAGCAGUAGGGAAUCUUCCACAAUGGACGAAAGUCUGAUGGAGCAAUGCCGCGUGAGUGAAGAAGGGUUUCGGCUCGUAAAACUCUGUUGUUAAAGAAGAACACCUUUGAGAGUAACUGUUCAAGGGUUGACGGUAUUUAACCAGAAAGCCACGGCUAACUACGUGCCAGCAGCCGCGGUAAUACGUAGGUGGCAAGCGUUGUCCGGAUUUAUUGGGCGUAAAGCGAGCGCAGGCGGUUUUUUAAGUCUGAUGUGAAAGCCUUCGGCUUAACCGGAGAAGUGCAUCGGAAACUGGGAGGCUUGAGUGCAGAAGAGGACAGUGGAACUCCAUGUGUAGCGGUGGAAUGCGUAGAUAUAUGGAAGAACACCAGUGGCGAAGGCGGCUGUCUAGUCUGUAACUGACGCUGAGGCUCGAAAGCAUGGGUAGCGAACAGGAUUAGAUACCCUGGUAGUCCAUGCCGUAAACGAUGAGUGCUAAGUGUUGGAGGGUUUCCGCCCUUCAGUGCUGCAGCUAACGCAUU
rnacentral:rRNA from 1 species